CCUACGGGGGGCAGCAGUGGGGAAUAUUGCACAAUGGGCGCAAGCCUGAUGCAGCCAUGCCGCGUGUGUGAAGAAGGCCUUCGGGUUGUGAAGCGCUUUCAGCGGGGAGGAAGGCGGUGAGGUUAAUAACCUCAUCGAUUGACGUUACCCGCAGAAGAAGCACCGGCUAACUCCGUGCCAGCAGCCGCGGUAAUACGGAGGGUGCAAGCGUUAAUCGGAAUUACUGGGCGUAAAGCGCACGCAGGCGGUCUGUCAAGUCGGAUGUGAAAUCCCCGGGCUCAACCUGGGAACUGCAUUCGAAACUGGCAGGCUAGAGUCUUGUGGAGGGGGGUAGAAUUCCAGGUGUAGCGGUGAAAUGCGUAGAGAUCUGGAGGAAUACCGGUGGCGAAGGCGGCCCCCUGGACAAAGACUGACGCUCAGGUGCGAAAGCGUGGGGAGCAAACAGGAUAGAUACCCCGGUAGUC
rnacentral:rRNA from 1 species